rnacentral:rRNA from 1 species
AGAAUAUUCCGCAAUGGGGGAAACCCUGACGGAGCGACGCCGCGUGGACGAUGAAGGCCGGAAGGUUGUAAAGUCCUUUAGUCCGUGAGGAAUAACGCCGGAGGGAAUGCCGGCGGAUGACUGUAGCGGAAGAAUAAGCACCGGCUAAUUACGUGCCAGCAGCCGCGGUAACACGUAAGGUGCGAGCGUUGUUCGGAAUUAUUGGGCGUAAAGGGCACGCAGGCGGCGAGGCAAGCUUGGUGUGAAAUCCCGGGGCUCAACCCCGGAACUGCAUUGAGAACUGCUUGGCUAGAGUCAGCGAGGGGCAGCCGGAAUUCCAGGUGUAGGGGUGAAAUCUGUAGAUAUCUGGAAGAACACCAAUGGCGAAGGCAGGCUGCCAGCGCAUGACUGACGCUCAGGUGCGAAGGUGCGGGGAGCAAACA